CUUGCUUCUCUUGAGAGCGGCGGACGGGUGAGUAAUGCCUAGGAAUCUGCCUGGUAGUGGGGGAUAACGUCCGGAAACGGACGCUAAUACCGCAUACGUCCUACGGGAGAAAGCAGGGGACCUUCGGGCCUUGCGCUAUCAGAUGAGCCUAGGUCGGAUUAGCUAGUUGGUGGGGUAAUGGCUCACCAAGGCGACGAUCCGUAACUGGUCUGAGAGGAUGAUCAGUCACACUGGAACUGAGACACGGUCCAGACUCCUACGGGAGGCAGCAGUGGGGAAUAUUGGACAAUGGGCGAAAGCCUGAUCCAGCCAUGCCGCGUGUGUGAAGAAGGUCUUCGGAUUGUAAAGCACUUUAAGUUGGGAGGAAGGGCAGUAAAUUAAUACUUUGCUGUUUUGACGUUACCGACAGAAUAAGCACCGGCUAACUCUGUGCCAGCAGCCGCGGUAAUACAGAGGGUGCAAGCGUUAAUCGGAAUUACUGGGCGUAAAGCGCGCGUAGGUGGUUCGUUAAGUUGGAUGUGAAAUCCCCGGGCUCAACCUGGGAACUGCAUUCAAAACUGACGAGCUAGAGUAUGGUAGAGGGUGGUGGAAUUUCCUGUGUAGCGGUGAAAUGCGUAGAUAUAGGAA
rnacentral:rRNA from 1 species